rnacentral:rRNA from 1 species
UACGUAGGGUGCAAGCGUUAAUCGGAAUUACUGGGCGUAAAGCGUGCGCAGGCGGCUGUGUAAGACAGAUGUGAAAACCCCGGGCUCAACCUGGGAACUGCAGUUGGGACUGCACAGCUGGAGUACGGUAGAGGGGGCUGGAAUUCCGCGUGUAGCAGUGAAAUGCGUAGAUAUGCGGAGGAACACCGAUGGCGAAGGCAG